UUGCAAUGAUGACAAUCUUAGGACACCUUUGGAAUUAACCAUGAAAACAACUCUAUUGAUCUGAGCAAC